UUUUCUUCCGUACAUACUGCUCUAUUACAAGAAAUUCCAAGAGUGACAAGGCUUCAUUUUUAUAAUUUUGAGUACCUAAUGGUAUGUCAAAAUCGACUCGAAAAAAUUGAGGCUAAAAAUUCGCAAGUUUUCUUCUGAAAUAGUAUUUUGUCAGAAAAAAAAUCGAAAAAAUAGUGAAUGGAGGUACGGCAUUUUUACUUUGGACGGCAGUAUAGCCCGUAAGAACGGCUUCCACGGCCGGAGUGUUCUUUUCGGUGUUGUUCAGCAUAUUAAAUACAUACAUGCUUCAUCAUCACACUUCGGAUAUCAUUGCAUGUGCAUACUCGAUGCAUGAUCUGACAAGAUAAUUUUAAAAGUAGGCAGUCUCAUUGAUGGUAAUAUCCACGAGAAAGAUUAAUUAUUCUGGAUCUGGGCAUUCUCUUCGUAUUGGUUGAAUACCAAUAAAGCUGCUUCACGGAAAAAAAUCGGUCGGGUGAAAUUCCUGAUCCCCGGUGGGAAUGAGUGCGGUAGGGAUGUCUCCCAGCGCCGGUAGGCGUGUCGGCUUACCUACUCGGCGUGUCGUUCAGGUAGCACCCGGGUGACAGCGCCACCGGUCGGUGAUAACAGUGAAUCCGUAUAAUUCCCGGACUAGCCGGUAGGGAUCACGCCGGUCGCUGCUACCAACGCCGGUUGUGACGUAAUGUUUACCUCAUCCUCAGUGUUUUGAUUCAGUGAGUGUUCGUGUUUGUGUGGAAGUGUAGAAAAAUUAGAUAAUGGAUGAAGCUACGGCGGAAUUCCUUCGGCACAAUAAUUUAGCCGCUUAUCUGGCAGCUUUCGAAGAGGCUGGCAUCUCUGCCCUAGAACUACGGCUUCUUGACAAAGAGACAGCAAAGGAACUCAUACCCAAGUUGGGGGAUCGGCUUCGUUUUUAAAUGCUUUGGAAGGCUUCCAAAAUCCUGAUGGUCUUAUUAAUAAUUUAAUGGUGCGUAUUCAAAGUUUUGGAAAAAUUCAUUAAAAGGUCUUAUAUAAUUUUAUUUUGAAAAGAAUGAGAAGACACAUAAAUUUGCAAGAAAAUCAAGAUAAAAAAGUAAUACUUUAUUAUACUCUUUAAAAAUCUCAUGUACAAAGCUUGAAUUUGCCAUAUUGGAUUACAAUGAAACUUUAUGCCCUUUAUUGCUCUAUACUGCUCGCAAAUACUGCUUUAGAACACCAGAGAGUUUACUGGUACAAACUUUAAAUAUUUUCCCUGAAAAUAAUGCCCUGUUCACUCCGAAGCAACUCAUAUAUCCCCUGUCUUCUCAUGCACGCGCCAGUUUGAGCUUUUGUUAAUUUUUAGAUUUUUCUUGCAUGGAUAUUUAUUUUGUAGUUUUUUGCUGCUGAUGCCAGGGGUGCCAAAUUUAUCCUAAUCCUGAAAUUUGAUGUAAGACUGACGUAUUUGCUUUCUCAUUACCCUGCAUGAUUUUCCUCAUCUUACACAUUUUUCUUUCCCUCAACCAAUUUUUAAAUAGCCAACAGGGUUACUCCCAAGCUUAAUACCCCAGCCCCAGGUGCCUAUGAGACCAUCAAACCCAGGUUUUAUGGCUGAGAAUCUCAACUGUGGUACCUUGUUUUUAAGUUUUCUCGUUUAUUUGGCUACUUUUUUCUCUUCAGUUCACUGAGGUCAUCGUAUUUAAGUCAUUGUUUGUUGCAUUGCCAAUAAAACUACCAAAUCAAGCAUCUUCGUUAGUGUGUUGGAAAUUUCCUGUUGCACUCUCUGUUUUGAAUAGAAUCUGAUCAUCAUUUUUGCAGAAAAUUUGAUGUAUAGCUCUAAUUCGUUUUCUCAAAAUAUUCCCCUGCAAGUUUGGCACAAAAAUUAUAAGCAGCAUUUUCUUACAGAAAUUAAAUAUGAUAAAAAAUUGUUAAAAACCGCAACAAAGAUCCAUGGUUUGGUAAUUUCACCAAUAAUACGUUAAUCUCAAUACCGUGGAAAGAAAGAGACUCUCUUUAGAGGAACACA
rnacentral:lncRNA from 1 species